GUCGAACCCGACUAUAUCGAACCCGUUUACAUCGAAUUAUUCCUUAUAUCAAACAAUUUAUGGACACGGUAUAGUUACAAUGAGUAUAUAUAGCAAAAAUUAUGCAUACAUCGAACAAAACUAAUAGCGACUCCCGAUAUAUCGAACGUCAAGCGGCGGAAAGUGCCCCCGGAAGUUGGCUUUCCCUCGCGGUGAAGGGAAAACCCGGCGGCGCGGCUCCAUCCAACCGCUCCCCCUAUGCGACCGCGCUACCUCGGAGCCGCCGACACCUCCCUACAAAAAAUGAUCCUGGCCCGCCCGCCUGCAGCGCUUGCCCAGACAGCCAAUCAGAGGCUCUUGUGCCCUCGUCAUGCAAGUUGGCGAAAGUGCGAGUUGUCUCGCUGCUUAUCUGAUUCAUUGUGUGCGCCUUCUCCCGCAGUGUUGCCGUGAUGAAGCGUCAGAAUUCGCCUUUCGUCGUGAAGCUCGAAAUCAUAAACCGGGUCGAAUGCGGUGACAAGUCGGAUGUCUCUGCAACGUACAAGAUUCCGAGGUGCACUCUCGGCACGAUCUUGAAGGGGGAAAUUAGGGCUAAAGCGGCCUAACUCGCGACCCGGUGCCCGUAGUGCCCGUGGCGCCCGACGCGUAUGCACGGCCGUGUACGAGUGGUUCAUCCAAAAUAGCUUCAGCCGUACCGACUUCCGCGUGCUCGGUGAUGACUGUAAAUUCUGAUUAAUGCGACGAAGCCGUUGUCAUUGUUGCCGAGGUUUGGAGCCAGCUGUCAGAAUUUCCGGAAGCUGUUGACGAAUCAACGGUGCGCGAGUUAGUGAGCGCAAAUGAUGGUGUCGCGACCACGGUAGAGCCCGGAAACGAAGACUACAUUGCCGACAUCGUGCCGAGCACAACUGAAAAUGGGCACAACGAGGAAAGCAACGACCGUCUUUGGCCCACAUCCUCCGAAGUGCGCUCGCACUAGUCCGGUGCUUCUGUGCGAAAGCGGAAUGUUGCGGCCUCAGCUGCUCCGACUCCUUAGACAAUGUGGGGAAGUGCGUGCCUCGCAUGCAGCGAAAUUGCCCAAGCAGAAGAAAAUGCAGGACUGUUUCUUUGCGAAACGAAGCUAGUUUCAUCAAUAAAGUGAUUUUAUAAAUGGUAUCUGUUGUCCACGCAGUUCUAUGCAAGGAUCUGGGGUCAUUCCUCUCUUUCUGGAGGCACGCACCAGAAGAGAAAAGGAACUGUUCAACAAGACGACCUCGCGCGUCUAUACGAGAGCCACCCCACAGGGAACUGUGCGCAUUGAAAUCGCCAAGGAAAACAUCAGGUUCUGGCAAUUGAUCUAUAAAGGAUUGGAAUUCAUGUUUCGUUAGUUUGCAAUGUCGGGGUAUGUAAAGAGAGCUAAUGGUGAUGAGUUUGUUUAGCAGAACAACUUGCACCGCCACUGCUUCAAGGGGCGUUUGUAGCUAUAAAGGUUGACAGGCUACACUUUUAUGAGUGACAAUCGCAACACCACCCGAUGAUGCGACGGCAUCAUCGCGAUCUUUGCGAAACAUAACAUACGUUCGGAGAAAGUUUGUGUAUUUGGAUUUUAAGUGUGUUUCCUGUAAACACAGCACUUUUGGAUUAUGUUUGUGGAUGAGUUCUUGCACAUCAUCAAGGUUUCCAAGAAGACCUUUUAUUUAUUUUUAGACCUUUUAUUUAUUUUAUUAAGACCUUUUAUUUUAUUUUUUAGAAGACAUUUUUAUAGUAAAUUGGUGCUGUGUUUACGGAAAUGGCAGUGAUGCCUCAGAUUACAGAGCUCUUUCGAGGCCCAGUAACCGGGGUUUUGCCCUUUCUGGAGCGUUCAAGGGAGCCUCUCCGCUCCUUAGGCGUUUGGUGCGCCUUGAGGACAGGUGUAGUGUCCAUUGCCUCGUGUGAGGCUCCGGACACGUGCUCUUGCGAGCGAGAAGUUUUCAGAGAGAGUCCUGCCUUGGAGGGCAAGACCCCUGCGCCUACCAGCCCGGAGGUCGAUGGGGCUCCCUGAGGAAUUUGGCUGCGCCAGCUGUUGCCAGCGCUGGAAGGGGCGGGGGAGGGUGGGGCAGCCUCAGCGGCGCCCACCUUCGGGGUCGGUGGCCUUGUCUGCUGGGUAGACGGAGCAGCGCUAGCUGCAACCGCCGCGGGGGCAGGUGGCGUAACUGCCGACUCACGGCUUGCGGGUCGGACAGCCGCCGGAGGCUGUUGUGACGCUGCCCCUUAACGCGCCACUUCGGCAAAGCUGGCCUUAGGAAGGUAUGCAACCCGCCUACGUGCCUCUUUGAAUGAUAUGUUUUCUUUUUCGUUGAUUGUUACUAUUUCUUUUUCUUUCUUCCAAGACGGGCAUGACUGUGAGUAUGCGGCAUGCUCGCCAUCACAAUUUACACAGUAGAAAGAAUUCUCACAAGCUUCAGAGGAGUGUUCAUGCGCGCUGCAUUUCGCACAAGUUUGGCGGCCUCGGCAGCUCUGCGAACUGUGGCCAAAACGCUGGCACUUGAAACAUCGGAGAGGAUUUGGCACGUACGGUCUUACACGGAGCUUGAUGUACCCGGCCUCGAUUGACUCGGGCAGGACACUUGAAUUGAACGUCAGUAUUAGGUGUUUGGUCGCAAGUUCUUUACCAUCUCGCCUCAUCUUAAUUCUUUUGACAUUUAUAACAUUUUGUUCACUGAAACCCUCCAAGAGCUCAGCCUCAGUGAGCUCCAGCAAAUCACCGUCCGAGACAACGCCGCGGGAGGUAUUCAUUGUGCGGUGCGGGGUUACUACUACUUAGGUCUCCCCAAAUGAUACUAGCUGUGGCAGCUUCUCAAAUUGCUUCUGGUCGCGGAGCUCCAAGAGGAGGUCACCGCUAGCCAUCCUCGACACCUUAUAUCCUGGGCCAAAAACUUCGGUAAGAGACUUAGAUACAAGGAACGGGGAGAUUGUUCGUACUUGUUUAGCUGGUUUUUCUGCGUGGAUGACAUGAAAACGAGGAAAAUUGUGGACUUGGCGUCCGAAAAACUGAAAGACCUCUUCGGUGCGCCCUCGUUUCUGAGGGCGAUCAGGGAGUUUAGGAAAAGCGUUUUCCACAAGUACAGUUGGGUUUUCGGCCGCGAUGCCGACCACCCACCAUGGAGCCCAACAGGGGGACGUGACAGGAGCUCCUGCUAUAGAAACCCUGCCAAUGCCAGCCGUACAUCGCUGCUAUAACCAAAUACAGCAUAACCAAGGCUGGCUAGCUACACAAGGUUAACCCUUGCCGCCGGGAAACUAGGCAGUGAGGAGAAGUGAUGAGAAGACAGGAAAGAUGAAAAAGAGGAGAGAGACAGACGAAGAUUGGAGAGGAGUACAGGAAAAGGCGACUGCUGAUUUCCCCCGGGUGGGUCAGUCCAAGGGUGCCAUCUACGUGAAGCCGAGGGCAAAGCGGUGUGUUGCCGCCGCCGAGGGGCCGUAAAGGUCCAAACACCCGGCAUUGGCUCAACCCCCAGGAUCCCCUUUUCCCCGGACACGGCUAGGCCGCGCACGGCUACACGCGGGAGGGUCCAACGCCCAUGUGCUCGGGUACGUGGUGUCGCAACACACCAAACGCCUGCUUGGCAUCCAUAGCAGAUUAUGCUUCUUUCUUCCUAAAAAUUUAACAUUGCUCAUAUACAACUCCCUUUUUCUUUCACAUAUCACAUACUGUCACCUGGUUUGGGCUACUAUAACUAAGACCCCCCAAUAUAAUGAAACUUUUCUGUUGCAAAAAAAAAGCUCUAAGUGCAAAAACUGAUUUGAGAUUCGACGCUCACACUGAGCCUCUCUUUGUCUGUCUUGGAAUAAAAAAGGUGCACGAUUUUUGCGACUAUUUGCUCCUAAAAAGGAUGCGAAAGGGAAACUCUGGCUAUCUUAAGAGAAUAGCUUGUCUUGGGCAACCUCAUAUUACACACAACACACAUAACCAAGAAAUCUGGCACAUUCCUGCCUCAAGAAUGCAAUAGGGUGACCAAAUAAUCCGUUACAGAAUGCCAUUUCUCCUAAACUGACAAGACUCUUCAUAAUUUUAAUGCGAUACACUUGCAUUUUGAUUUUAUUUCCAUAUGAUGUACUUGCCUUGUGCAUGUUUUUUUUCUCCUUAUAACAUGUACUUUCUUUUCACUAUGUAGUCAUUGUAUAAAUUCUGUUAUUGUUCAUGUUGCCAAUGUGAAACUUUUUUUUUUUUCAGGGGGUACAUAUCCCAUCAAGCUUAUUUUUGUGCUUUUUGUCUGUGCUCCUGACAACUUUUUUUCAUUGUUGUCGAAUAAACUUUGAGUUUGAACUGAUGAAUAGUAAUCGCAGACUUGGUAGUUUUACAGCCUAUAUAAGCAGCUCGUCAGUACAGUUCAUGUAUG